UGCUGCGUACUCAGCCCAGACGCCCCUCCACCCACUCUAGUCCGCGCAAGAGCCCGUGACGGCAGCAGUACAAAAACGACCGCCAGCCACGGAGGAGGUGAGGGAAGUUCUGUUUCCUCUGAGGGCUUUUCAGUCACGUGACUGCGUCAUUUUGACCCUGGUGUCAAAUCCUUCUCUCGUGUGCUUAAGCAGAAAGGAAAAUAAUUUCAGAUUUGCUAGGUUUUCACAUGAGUUUAGCAUCAUUUUGCUUUAUAAACUCCAAAUAGAUACUUAGAAGUGCAGGCAGUCGUUAGUCUCAUAAUAGCCAGCAAGAAAAUUCCUAUUUCAGAGAAAUUGUUUUCUCAUGUCCAGUGGAGAAAGUCCCGGAUUGCAGAAGAAAGCAGUGCUGGUUCUUUAAAACUUGGUUGACAUCAACACAUACCCAUCUUUGAUGAGGUGCAGCUAAAUGCAAAAUGACUACUUUGAGGCCCGUCCCAGAAACUCACUCUUCCUCCCUUGGCCUCCUCUGUCGCCCAUUACUGGGCUCCUGUGAGUCAUCCCGAUAGGGAUGUUGCUGGGAAUUACUAAAGAGAGAUCUUGAAGCGCCUCGUAAAUGCCCACCAUCAUUACCGAGACAGGCCCAGGCCCUCUGUUUUGUUCCGGGAAAUCUUACCAAGUCCUGAAUGGAUAAUUAUACUCCAGCCCUCACACCAAGCAACCGCAGAUGACAAAAGUCUGUGUGUGUGGGGACUUCCCUGGUGGCGCAGUGGUUAAGAAUCCGCCUGCCAAUGCUAGGGGACACGGGUUCAAGCCCUGGUCCGGGAAGAUCCCACAUGCCACGGAGCAACUAAGCCCGUGCGCCACAACUACUGAGCCUAUGCUCUAGAGCCUGCGAGCUAUAACUACUGAGCCCGCGUGCCACAACUACUGAAGCCCGCAUGCCUAGAGCCCGUGCUCUGCAACAGAGAGAAGCCAACACAAUGAGAAGCCCGCGCACCGCAUCGAAGAGUAGCCCCCGCUCGCCGCAACUAGAGAAAGCCUGUGUGCAG